rnacentral:misc_RNA from 1 species
GCGAGGUGAUUGUUAGUGGAAAACUCAGGGCACAGCGUGCAAAGUCUAUGAAGUUCAAAGACGGAUAUAUGAUCUCUUCGGGUCAACCAGUCAGAGAUUAUAUUGACUCAGCUGUUAGACACGUUCUUCUUAGACAGGGAGUUCUUGGUAUCAAAGUUAAGAUCAUGCUUGAUUGGGAUCCUAAGGGCAAGCAAGGCCCUACCACCCCUCUACCUGAUGUUGUAACCAUCCACUCUCCCAAGGAGGAAGAAGAAAUCGUUCACAGACCAGCAGCAGUUUUGACCACUGAUAUUGAGGUUCCAGUAGCAGUAGCUUGAGAGGCUUCCCUUCUAGAUAUUUAUGUAUGGAACCAACCAUCAUCCUUUUUGUAUUUUCUUUCCCAAAGAUUUCGUUAUGUCUCAUUGAUCUGUUGGUUUGAGCCUCCGACUGCAGGGCGUUCUUUUCGAUAAUCAAACAAAUUGCAUAUGGAGAACAGUCUUUAUGAUGCCUUAGCCUUUUAUCUAUUUCCAUUUUUGUUUAAUGAUUAUUUA